rnacentral:rRNA from 1 species
GAUGAACGCUGGCGGCGUGCCUAAUACAUGCAAGUCGAGCGAACAGACGAGGAGCUUGCUCCUCUGUCGUUAGCGGCGGACGGGUGAGUAACACGUGGAUAACCUACCUACAAGACUGGGAUAACUUCGGGAAACCGGAGCUAAUACCGGAUAAUAUAUUGAACCGCAUGGUUCAAUAGUGAAAGACGGUUUUGCUGUCACUUAUAGAUGGAUCCGCGCCGCAUUAGCUAGUUGGUAAGGUAACGGCUUACCAAGGCAACGAUGCGUAGCCGACCUGAGAGGGUGAUCGGCCACACUGGAACUGAGACACGGUCCAGACUCCUACGGGAGGCAGCAGUAGGGAAUCUUCCGCAAUGGGCGAAAGCCUGACGGAGCAACGCCGCGUGAGUGAUGAAGGUCUUCGGAUCGUAAAACUCUGUUAUUAGGGAAGAACAAAUGUGUAAGUAACUAUGCACGUCUUGACGGUACCUAAUCAGAAAGCCACGGCUAACUACGUG